rnacentral:rRNA from 1 species
CCUACGGGAGGCAGCAGUGAGGAAUAUUGGUCAAUGGCCGCAGGGCUGAACCAGCCAAGCCGCGUGAGGGACGACGGUCCCAUGGAUUGUAAACCUCUUUUGUCAGGGAGCAAAGUCCGCCACGAGUGGCGCUCUGCGAGUACCUGAAGAAAAAGCAUCGGCUAACUCCGUGCCAGCAGCCGCGGUAAUACGGAGGAUGCGAGCGUUAUCCGGAUUUAUUGGGUUUAAAGGGUGCGCAGGCGGGAUGUUAAGUCAGCGGUAAAAGUUCGGGGCUCAACCCCGUCGUGCCGUUGAAACUGGCGUUCUUGAGUGAGCGAGAGGUAUGCGGAAUGCGUGGUGUAGCGGUGAAAUGCAUAGAUAUCGCGCAGAACUCCGAUUGCGAAGGCAGCAUACCGGCGCUCAACUGACGCUCAGGCACGAAAGCGUGGGUAUCGAACAGGAUUAGAUACCCUUGUAGUC